rnacentral:rRNA from 1 species
GACGAACGCUGGCGGCGUGCUUAACACAUGCAAGUCGAACGAAGAGCGAUGGAAGCUUGCUUCUCUCAAUCUUAGUGGCGAACGGGUGAGUAACGCGUAAUCAACCUGCCCUUCAGAGGGGGACAACAGUUGGAAACGACUGCUAAUACCGCAUACGAUCUAAUCUCGGCAUCGAGGAUAGAUGAAAGGUGGCCUCUACAUGUAAGCUAUCACUGAAGGAGGGGAUUGCGUCUGAUUAGCUAGGUGGAGGGGUAACGGCCCACCAAGGCGAUGAUCAGUAGCCGGUCUGAGAGGAGGAACGGCCACAUUGGGACUGAGACACGGCCCAGACUCCUACGGGAGGCAGCAGUGGGGAAUCUUCCGCAAUGGACGAAAGUCUGACGGAGCAACGCCGCGUGAGUGAUGACGGCCUUCGGGUUGUAAAGCUCUGUUAAUCGGGACGAAAGGCCUUCUUGCGAAUAGUGAGAAGGAUUGACGGUACCGGAAUAGAAAGCCACGGCUAACUACGUG